UCCUCUAAAUGACCAAGUUUGGAUGACUUUUUAGUCCCUAGCUGCUGUUGCCAGCUGCCAAAGUCCAAUCCGAAAGCCUCACUAAGCCAUUCAAUCGGUAGUAGCGACGGGCGGUGUGUACAAAGGGCAGGGACGUAAUCAACGCGAGCUGAUGACUCACGCUUACUAGGAAUUCCUCGUUGAAGUCCAAUAAUUGCAAUGGACUAUCCCCAGCACGAUCAAGUUUCAAAAGAUUACCCAGACCUUCCGGCCAAGGUUGUAAACUCGUUGACUUGAUCAGUGUAGCGCGCGUGCGGCCCAGAACAUCUAAGGGCAUCACAGACCUGUUAUUGCCUCAAACUUCCAUUGACUAAUAGUCAAUAGUCCCUCUAAGAAGUUGACGACCAACAAACGUUGGCCU
rnacentral:rRNA from 1 species